CCUUGCACACUACCCUGAUCUGCACAAGCCAGUUUUCUUUUUUCUCUGUCUGGGAUCUGGCAAUGACCUCCUGCAACCUAACUGCUCCCCCCAGCAGCCUUUUCUCCAGGCUCUGUGUUGACCUGGCAAAUGCUUCUAGCUGUAAGGAGAUUAAAAGAAGGCCCCUUGGUGCUUGAUUGACCUUUCUCUCAAACCACCAGGAACAACAGUGGUGUUCUACCCCUCUCCAUCCCAACAGAGGCCCAGGAGUUCCACAAGAUGGAGAACACUUUGCCUGGCCCACACUCACUAAAGACUGGGAAAAGCUCAUGGGAAUGGAAUACAAACCCAAAGACCCAUGGCAGCAGAAAUGUGA